rnacentral:rRNA from 1 species
UGGCGGACGGGUGAGUAACGCGUGAGAAUCUGCCCUUAGGAGGGGGACAACAGUUGGAAACGACUGCUAAUACCCCAUAUGCCGGGAGGUGAAAAGGUUAAAUCCGCCUAAGGAGGAGUUCGCGUCUGAUUAGCUAGUUGGUGGGGUAAGAGCCUACCAAGGCGACGAUCAGUAGCUGGUCUGAGAGGAUGAUCAGCCACACUGGGACUGAGACACGGCCCAGACUCCUACGGGAGGCAGCAGUGGGGAAUUUUCCGCAAUGGGCGCAAGCCUGACGGAGCAACGCCGCGUGCGGGAGGAAUGCCUGUGGGUCGUAAACCGCUUUUAUCAGGGAAGAAGGUCUGACGGUACCUGAUGAAUCAGCAUCGGCUAACUCCGUGCCAGCAGCCGCGGUAAG